CCUACGGGCGGCAGCAGUGAGGAAUAUUGGUCAAUGGUCGCAAGUCUGAACCAGCGACGCCGCGUGAGUGAAGAAGUAUUUCGGUAUGUAAAGCUCUGUCAGCAGGGAAGAAAGAAAUGACGGUACCUGACCAAGAAGCCCCGGCUAACUACGUGCCAGCAGCCGCGGUAAUACGUAGGGGGCAAGCGUUAUCCGGAAUUACUGGGUGUAAAGGGAGCGUAGACGGUUAAGUAAGUCUGGAGUGAAAGGCCGGGGCCCAACCCCGGGACUGCUCUGGAAACUAUUGAACUUGAGUGCAGGAGAGGUAAGCGGAAUUCCUAGUGUAGCGGUGAAAUGCGUAGAUAUUAGGAGGAACACCAGUGGCGAAGGCGGCUUACUGGACUGUAACUGACGCUGAGGCGCGAAAGCGUGGGGAGCAAACAGGAUUAGAUACCCUGGUAGUC
rnacentral:rRNA from 1 species